rnacentral:lncRNA from 1 species
GGAAGGAUCCAAUGGUGGUAGUAGGCAGAAUUGGUAGGUUAAGUUUCUUUUGUUGGGCAUCAAGUCUAGCACUAACAUUUGUAGCACGGCGGUGGUCAGAUCCUUGAAGAGCAGCGGACUGAGAUAUCACAAGAGUAAAAGGUAGUAAGUAAAAUAUGACACAAGUCAUUUGAAAGAGAAGACGAUCCUUCAGUUCAACACUUACAGCCUUUUGAACAGCUUCAGGUAGUAAGUACGAUAUGAUACAAGUCAUUAGGAAGAGAAGACGAUCCUUCAGCUCAACACUUACAGCCUUUUGAACAGCUUCAUUUGUCACUCUUGGGGAUGACUUUCUGGAAGCUUGAGCAGCAGCAUUAGCAGAGAAAACUGCCUGAAAGUACAAUGAACACAUUUAGCCGUGAUAUGCGAAAAACUUUGUCGAGAGUAAAAGUAAAAACGACUCAUUUU